UUGGUGCCUUCGGGAACGCUGAGACAGGUGCUGCAUGGCUGUCGUCAGCUCGUGUUGUGAAAUGUUGGGUUAAGUCCCGCAACGAGCGCAACCCUUAUCCUUUGUUGCCAGCGAUUCGGUCGGGAACUCAAAGGAGACUGCCGGUGAUAAACCGGAGGAAGGUGGGGAUGACGUCAAGUCAUCAUGGCCCUUACGAGUAGGGCUACACACGUGCUACAAUGGCGCAUACAAAGAGAAGCGACCUCGCGAGAGCAAGCGGACCUCACAAAGUGCGUCGUAGUCCGGAUCGGAGUCUGCAACUCGACUCCGUGAAGUCGGAAUCGCUAGUAAUCGUGGAUCAGAAUGCCACGGUGAAUACGUUCCCGGGCCUUGUACACACCGCCCGUCACACCAUGGGAGUGGGUUGCAAAAGAAGUAGGUAGCUUAACCUUCGGGAGGGCGC
rnacentral:rRNA from 1 species